rnacentral:rRNA from 1 species
GAUGAACGCUGGCGGCGUGCCUAAUACAUGCAAGUCGAGCGAAGCGGGGACGGGUGAGUAACACGUGGAUAACCUCCUAUAAGUCUGGAAUAACUUCGGGAAACCGGAGCUAAACCGGAAAGUUAUUGAUGGAUACGCGCUGCAUUCGCUAGUUGGUACGGUAACGGCUUACAAAGGAAACGAUGCAUAGCCGACCUGAGAGGGUGAUCGGCCACACUGGAACUGAGACACGUGCCAGACUCCUACGUGAGGCAGCAGUAGGGAAUCUUCCGCAAUGGACGAAAGCCUGACGGAGCAACGCCGCGUGAGUGAAGAAGGUCUUCGGAUCGUAAAACUCUGUUAUUAGGGAAGCGGUACCUAAUCAGAAAGCCACGGCUAACUACGUGCCAGCCGCCGCGGUAAUAC